UACGUAGGCAGCGAGCGUUGUUCGGAGUUACUGGGCGUAAAGCGUGCGUAGGCGGUCUUGUAAGUCUGGUGUGAAAUCUCCCGGCUCAACUGGGAGGGUGCGCCGGAAACUGCAAGGCUGGAGUAUGGGAGAGGUAGGCGGAAUUCCUUGUGUAGCGGUGAAAUGCGUAGAUAUCAGGAGGAACACCGAUGGCGAAGGCAGGUCUCUGGGCAUUAACUGACGCUGAGGAGCGAAAGCAUGGGGAGCGAACAGG
rnacentral:rRNA from 1 species